GAUGAAGAACGUAGUGAAAUGCGAUAAGUAAUGUGAAUUGCAGAAUUCAGUGAAUCAUCGAAUCUUUGAACGCACAUUGCGCCCCCCAGUAUUCUGGCGGGCAUGCCUGUUCGAGCGUCAUUUCAACCAUCAAGCCCUGCUUGUGUUGGGGUCCUGCGGCUGCCCGCAGGCCCUGAAAACCAGUGGCGGGCUCACUAGUCACACCGAGCGCAGUAGCACAUCUCGCUCAGGGCGUGCGGCGGGCUCCAGCCGUUAAAGCACCCACCUUUCGCAAGGUUGACCUCGGAUCAGGUAGGAAUACCCGCUGAACUUAAGCAUAUCAAUAAGCGGAGGA
rnacentral:misc_RNA from 1 species